rnacentral:rRNA from 1 species
UGUGUGUUAGUGGAAGCGUCUGGAAAGGCGCGCGAUACAGGGUGACAGCCCCGUACACAAAAAUGCACAUGCUGUGAGCUCGAUGAGUAGGGCGGGACACGUGGUAUCCUGUCUGAAUAUGGGGGGACCAUCCUCCAAGGCUAAAUACUCCUGACUGACCGAUAGUGAACCAGUACCGUGAGGGAAAGGCGAAAAGAACCCCGGCGAGGGGAGUGAAAAAGAACCUGAAACCGUGUACGUACAAGCAGUGGGAGCACGCUUAGGCGUGUGACUGCGUACCUUUUGUAUAAUGGGUCAGCGACUUAUAUUCUGUAGCAAGGUUAACCGAAUAGGGGAGCCGAAGGGAAACCGAGUCUUAACUGGGCGUUAAGUUGCAGGGUAUAGACCCGAAACCCGGUGAUCUAGCCAUGGGCAGGUUGAAGGUUGGGUAACACUAACUGGAGGACCGAACCGACUAAUGUUGAAAAAUUAGCGGAUGACUUGUGGCUGGGGGUGAAAGGCCAAUCAAACCGGGAGAUAGCUGGUUCUCCCCGAAAGCUAUUUAGGUAGCGCCUCGUGAAUUCAUCUCCGGGGGUAGAGCACUGUUUCGGCAAGGGGGUCAUCCCGACUUACCAACCCGAUGCAAACUGCGAAUACCGGAGAAUGUUAUCACGGGAGACACACGGCGGGUGCUAACGUCCGUCGUGAAGAGGGAAACAACCCAGACCGCCAGCUAAGGUCCCAAAGUCAUGGUUAAGUGGGAAACGAUGUGGGAAGGCCCAGACAGCCAGGAUGUUGGCUUAGAAGCAGCCAUCAUUUAAAGAAAGCGUAAUAGCUCACUGGUCGAGUCGGCCUGCGCGGAAGAUGUAACGGGGCUAAACCAUGCACCGAAGCUGCGGCAGCGACGCUUAUGCGUUGUUGGGUAGGGGAGCGUUCUGUAAGCCUGCGAAGGUGUGCUGUGAGGCAUGCUGGAGGUAUCAGAAGUGCGAAUGCUGACAUAAGUAACGAUAAAGCGGGUGAAAAGCCCGCUCGCCGGAAGACCAAGGGUUCCUGUCCAACGUUAAUCGGGGCAGGGUGAGUCGACCCCUAAGGCGAGGCCGAAAGGCGUAGUCGAUGGGAAACAGGUUAAUAUUCCUGUACUUGGUGUUACUGCGAAGGGGGGACGGAGAAGGCUAUGUUGGCCGGGCGACGGUUGUCCCGGUUUAAGCGUGUAGGCUGGUUUUCCAGGCAAAUCCGGAAAAUCAAGGCUGAGGCGUGAUGACGAGGCACUACGGUGCUGAAGCAACAAAUGCCCUGCUUCCAGGAAAAG